CUCCGUCUCUGAGGCGAUUAUCUGUGCGACUCGAUACCCGUCGAUUUUGUCUAUCAAAUCACCGUCGGAAUCACUCGUAGAAGAUCUGAGAUGGAUCCCGCUACAGAGAUAAGAGAGACUAAGAGAAAAAAGGAGUACAUCAAUAUGCUCGCAAACAUGGCUGAUUCAGAAACUGAGAUUCCGACGAGGUGUCCCUCACUAGGCGUGUGGAGGAGGUGGAGGUGCUGAUCAAGUUUGUGCCGGAGGUGAAUUAUAAGAUUCAGAGACUCGAGGUCACGGGUUCCUGGAGGAAGAUGUGUGUGGACGUGGAUGAUGGUAAUGUUGUUGCUUGUACUAGUAGGUUAUGUCACGGGAGAGUGUAGUACUUUGUCAGUUUCUACACUCAAUUUAGGACCUUCGGAUAUUAUGGGUGUACCCUUCGGAUAUGUAUGAUAGUCACGGGUGUAUGUACCCAAGACUUGUCUUUUCUACUCACUGGUGG